GAUGAACGCUGGCGGCGUGCCUAAUACAUGCAGGUCGAGCGAACGGACGAGAAGCUUGCUUUUCUGAUGUUAGCGGCGGACGGGUGAGUAACACGUGGAUAACCUACCUAUAAGACUGGAUAACUUCGGGAAACCGGAGCUAAUACCGGAUAAUAUUUUGAACCGCAUGGUUCCAAAGUGAAAGACGGUCUUGCUGUCACUUAUAGAUGGAUCCGCGCUGCAUUAGCUAGUUGGUAAGGUAACGGCUCACCAAGGCAACGAUGCAUAGCCGACCUGAGAGGGUGAUCGGCCACACUGGAACUGAGACACGGUCCAGACUCCUACGGGAGGCAGCAGUAGGGAAUCUUCCGCAAUGGGCGAAAGCCUGACGGAGCAACGCCGCGUGAGUGAUGAAGGUCUUCGGAUCGUAAAACUCUGUUAUUAGGGAAGAACAUAUGUGUAAGUAACUGUGCACAUCUUGACGGUACCUAAUCAGAAAGCCACGGCUAACUACGUG
rnacentral:rRNA from 1 species